UACGAAGGGGGCUAGCGUUGCUCGGAAUCACUGGGCGUAAAGCGCACGUAGGCGGCUUUUUAAGUCAGGGGUGAAAUCCUGGAGCUCAACUCCAGAACUGCCUUUGAUACUGAGAGCUUGAGUCCGGGAGAGGUGAGUGGAACUGCGAGUGUAGAGGUGAAAUUCGUAGAUAUUCGCAAGAACACCAGUGGCGAAGGCGGCUCACUGGCCCGGUACUGACGCUGAGGUGCGAAACGUGGGGAGCAAACGGG
rnacentral:rRNA from 1 species